AUUGAACGCUGGCGGCAGGCCUAACACAUGCAAGUCGAACGGUAACAGGAAGCAGCUUGCUGCUUUGCUGACGAGUGGCGGACGGGUGAGUAAUGUCUGGGGAUCUGCCUGAUGGAGGGGGAUAACUACUGGAAACGGUAGCUAAUACCGCAUAACGUCGCAAGACCAAAGAGGGGGACCUUCGGGCCUCUUGCCAUCAGAUGAACCCAGAUGGGAUUAGCUAGUAGGUGGGGUAACGGCUCACCUAGGCGACGAUCCCUAGCUGGUCUGAGAGGAGGACCAGCAACGAUGGAACUGAGACACGGUCCAGACUCCUACGGGAUGCAGCGGUGGGGAAUAUUGCACAAUGGGCGCAAGCCUGAUGCAGCCAUGCCGCGUGUAUGAAGAAGGCCUUCGGGUUGUAAAGUACUUUCAGCGAGGAGGAAGGUGGUGAGUUUAAUACGCUCAUCAAUUGACGUUACUCGCAGAAGAAGCACCGGCUAACUCCGUGCCAGCAGCCGCGGUAA
rnacentral:rRNA from 1 species